GAUGAAGAACGCAGCGAAAUGCGAUAAGUAAUGUGAAUUGCAGAAUUCAGUGAAUCAUCGAAUCUUUGAACGCACAUUGCGCCCCUUGGUAUUCCGGGGGGCAUGCCUGUUCGAGCGUCAUUUCAACCCUCAAGCUUCUGCUUGGUCUUGGGCCGUGCCGGCAACGGCUGGCCUUAAAACUAGUGGCGGUGCCAUCGAGCUCUACGCGUAGUAAUUCUAUCUCGCGUCUGGGCUUCGGUGGACGCUGGCCAGCAACCCCCAAUUUUCUAUGGUUGACCUCGGAUCAGGUAGGGAUACCCGCUGAACUUAAGCAUAUCAAUAAGCGGAGG
rnacentral:misc_RNA from 1 species